GGGAAGGUGGCUCAGUGGUAGAGUGCUUGCCUUGCAUGCAUGAGGUCCUGGGUUCCGUUCCU
rnacentral:tRNA from 1 species